CUGAUAAAUUUUAGACCUUAAAUGUAUAAAAAAUUAGAUUGGCACUAAAUGGGGCGACCCAUCUGGGUUAUCUCCUUUCAUUGAGUAGCUGGCACGCACUGUUUUGGCUUGUGGCAAGUAGUGGAAUGACCCACUUGGGAUGACCCCUGAGAUCCUGAGAUCAAUACAGAAAAUCUUUCAAACUGACCAAAUGAGGCGGCUUAUGGGACUUCCCAGUCACAGUGGAAUGACCCAUAUAGG
rnacentral:lncRNA from 1 species